rnacentral:rRNA from 1 species
AGCGAAUAGAUACCCAGGUAGUCCCAGCUGUAAACCGAUGCAGACUCGGUGAUGAAAUUGGCUUAUUGCUAAAUUCAGUGCCGCAGGGAAGCCGUUAAGUUUGCUGCCUGGGGUAGUACGGUCGCAAGACUGAAACUUAAAGGAAUUGGCGGGGGUAGCACCACAAGGGGUGAAGCCUGCGGUUCAAUUGGAGUCAACGCCGGAAAUCUUACCGGGGGGUCGACAGCAGAGUGAAGGUCAAGCUGAAGACUUUACCAGACAAGCUGAGAGGAGGUGCAUGGCCGUCGCCAGCUCGUGCCGUGAGGUGUCCUG